UACGGAGGGUGCAAGCGUUGCUCGGAAUCACUGGGCGUAAAGCGUGCGCAGGCGGUUUUGUAAGUCUGACGUGAAAUCCCCGGGCUCAACCUGGGAAUUGCGUUGGAGACUGCAAGGCUGGAGUCUGGCAGAGGGGGGUAGAAUUCCACGUGUAGCAGUGAAAUGCGUAGAGAUGUGGAGGAACACCGAUGGCGAAGGCAGCCCCCUGGGUCAAGACUGACGCUCAUGCACGAAAGCGUGGGGAGCAAACAGG
rnacentral:rRNA from 1 species